rnacentral:rRNA from 1 species
UACGUAGGGUGCGAGCGUUGUCCGGAAUUAUUGGGCGUAAAGAGCUCGUAGGCGGUCUGUCGCGUCGAUCGUGAAAACUUGGGGCUUAACCCUGAGCUUGCGGUCGAUACGGGCAUGACUGGAGUUCGGCAGGGGAGACUGGAAUUCCUGGUGUAGCGGUGAAAUGCGCAGAUAUCAGGAGGAACACCGGUGGCGAAGGCGGGUCUCUGGGCCGAUACUGACGCUAAGGCGCGAAAGCGUGGGGAGCGAACAGG